AUGGGGUUGGCGGGGUACGGUGAUGAUAACAAUCAUAAUCUUGCUUGCUUAAGUGGGGAAAGCCAAAGGGCAUUUCCUGUGAGUGUAGCAUUAAACUACUAUAUCUCUAUCACUCUCCCACCCUCUCUCCCACACAAACCACAACCAAAAGGCUGCUCCAUUUUCAUUUGGGUUGGGUUAAGCUAAGGCCUCUCAUCCUCAUUCUUCUUUCUUGUUGGAUGAAUGGAUAGGAUAAGAUAGUUAACUAGGUGCAACUUUGCUUUGCCCCUUACCUCAUUGCACUCUCUCUUCGUUUUUUCCCACCCCAAAAUUUAUUCAGAUAUUACAUCUCACACACCUUCAUGCACAUAGAUCAGUCACACCGAUCUGGCUAAGUAGCUACUUGUCAUCUAUACGUUUUGCAUGACUCUCUCUGACUCAAUGUACAGAAAGUCAGAGAUGAAGAGAGAGAGUUUUGUGUUUCCCAACAUGGUUUGGUUGGAGUUUAUGGUUCUUGUCUUUUUUGGUUCUAUUUAAUUUAUCCUCAAAAUCUUUUCCUCUUCUUUGUUGAUCUACCUUCCUCAUCUGUUGAUGCAUCUUCCAUGGUGUUUGUUUUGCUUGUUUCUCUCUCUCUGUAUCUCAGGUUAUUGGUUAUAAACCCUAAAAUUCUCAGAAAAAUUUGUUCCUUUAAGAACAUGCAUGUUAGAUCCUAGAUUUGCCAUUUUUUUUUAUCACCACCAUAUUUCAUGAUGUUUUCCAUUAAAGGAUAUUACAUUUUCUCCCUCAGAUCUGACCUAGUUAUCAGUUCUUUUCCUUUGGAUUUUUUGUAAGACAUUUUGUUUGUGAUUCUUUGAACUUUCCAUACAUUGGAAGCUAUUGUAUGUGUACUUGGUAUUUUUGAUUCCUUACAUUUGGACAGAAAUUGACAGAAGAGAGUGAGCACAAAGAGGCACUUGAUAUAAUUCUAUAUCACUGCUUUUGUGUGCUCACCACUCUUUCUGUCGGUUUUCAUGUGCCAGAAAAUUCUCCAAGUCUACUAAGUUGCUGCAUGAACCAAAACCAAACCACAUCAUCUUCUCUCUCUCUCUCUCUCUCAUUUUGAUGGAGGUAAUGAGAAACGUCUCUUACUGAAACAGGUUACAUGAUUAUAUAUUUCAUUAUUAUUCAAUAGUGAAAAAAAGGUAUAUAUGGCUUUAAUUGGUUCUUUGCAUAUAAGUAUGCUUUUAUUUUGUUUUAACUUUUAACUACUACUAUUAUUAGUUGAACACACGCACAAACAUGUUCAUAGAUUGGCUUUGUUAUAUUUUUUAGUAUAUACUAGUCAUUGCAAAAUGGAUAAGUCUGACUUUUGAUAGCAUUAAACCUUGCACAAGGUGCCCUGAUAAAGGUGCAGAUCUUUAGGGGCAACUUGUUUUUAUCUAUACAUGUGUAUUUGUAUGCUAGCGAGUGGCAGGGACCAUUCACGUUAUAUAGUAUGGUCCACACACAGGUCGUGUUGCUCACUUUCUAGCGUCUAGCACUCUAGCUAGCUAGCUAUAUUAUCGCUUUCCUGUGUUAAUAGCAUUUCAUAUUUUUUUUCUGAGUAUAUAGAGCAUGCGGGCCAUGAGGUGUGGUUUUUUGCUGUGAUGUUCUCACCUGAAACAGCAUGCAUGUUUGUUAUAUUGGGGAGUUUUAUUUAGGCUACUGCAGAAGGCCUAAAACCUCCUUUCUUAUUUCGGUUUUAAAGGCACAAGAGGAAAAAAGAGGGAGUAACACCAAUAUUAAAAUGGAUGAGGCUACUCGAGAAAAGACAACAUACAAAAGGAUUACAUGUGAGGAGAAAUCGGUAACACCAAAUGAGGAAAUGAGGAAAAGAUUACAAAAAAUCAACUAAAGUGAUUUGGAUACAAAUAAAGAAGGCAUCGAGAGGCACUGAUAUUGAGAAUAGUAAAUUGCAUGAUAUUAGUUUUGGGUAGAGGUGAAGGAGAUCAAGAGGCACAUUAGAGAAAGUUCUUAAGGGGAGUUCAGGUAAAUAACAUCCCUGAAUUAAACUUCAGUAUUUAACUUAGUUGAAUGUUUUUGUGUAAUCUAUAUAUGUAACCAAUCUUACUUAGUGAUAUAAGACUCUUUGCUAUAUUCUUAGGGAAAGGUUUAGGUGUUGAACAUUGUUUUAAGGACAAGACUUAUUGCAUUUCUAUUGGUAUUUUGGGUGCUAUUUUAAAAUUAAUAUUCGAGUUUUAUUUCAAUAA